ACAGGAAGCAGCUUGCUGCUUUGCUGACGAGUGGCGGACGGGUGAGUAAUGUCUGGGAAACUGCCUGAUGGAGGGGGAUAACUACUGGAAACGGUAGCUAAUACCGCAUAACGUCGCAAGACCAAAGAGGGGGACCUUCGGGCCUCUUGCCAUCAGAUGUGCCCAGAUGGGAUUAGCUAGUAGGUGGGGUAACGGCUCACCUAGGCGACGAUCCCUAGCUGGUCUGAGAGGAUGACCAGCCACACUGGAACUGAGACACGGUCCAGACUCCUACGGGAGGCAGCAGUGGGGAAUAUUGCACAAUGGGCGCAAGCCUGAUGCAGCCAUGCCGCGUGUAUGAAGAAGGCCUUCGGGUUGUAAAGUACUUUCAGCGGGGAGGAAGGCGAUGCGGUUAAUAACCGCGUCGAUUGACGUUACCCGCAGAAGAAGCACCGGCUAACUCCGUGCCAGCAGCCGCGGUAAUACGGAGGGUGCAAGCGUUAAUCGGAAUUACUGGGCGUAAAGCGCACGCAGGCGGUCUGUCAAGUCGGAUGUGAAAUCCCCGGGCUCAACCUGGGAACUGCAUCCGAAACUGGCAGGCUUGAGUCUCGUANAGGGGGGUAGAAUUCCAGGUGUANCGGUGAAAUGCGUACAGAUCUGGAGGAAUACCGGUGGCGAANGCGUCCCCCUGGG
rnacentral:rRNA from 1 species